rnacentral:lncRNA from 1 species
GUGGAUGAGGCACAGGCUGCUUUACAACAGCAGCAGGUUUUAUGUUCGUUUAUAUAUGGCCCUCAGGCUGUGUAGGCCUCUCUCAAGCGUGUGAAACGCUAAGACCCUGAGGCACACCAAUCCCUUCAAGGGCAAAAACGCUUCCCGCGCAGCCUGGUAGAGCCUCCUGUGAGGUGAGAAUUUGGCGCGCAACUCGCGCCGCUCUGCCUGUGGGGCUCCCCGCCCGCUCAGCGACCGCCGUUCUACGGCCGUAGGGCCUCCGGCGGUAGCCAACCACGGUCACUCUGCCCGCAGGGUAGGUCCACCCCGCGGCUGUGCCCGCAGCCAAGAUGGCGCCCGUAGCUUCCCCACCCCCCCGGCGGCGGCCGGGGCGUGUGCCGGAAUGCGGGCGGGGCGGGCGAUGUGGCGAGGCUCGGCCCACGCAGUCGUCCGGCGCUGCCCGACCGCCUCCCGCCGUGGCACAGGUGGGCUGUGGGGAGAGGCCGUGGAGGCGCGGAGAGGGCUGGGUGAGGCUGGGGGCGCGGUAGGCGGCGACCCGGAGCAGCGGUGCUCUCUUGGGGGGCGGUGCGGCGCGGCGCGGCGCGGGGCUAUUCCCGCGGGGAAUGGGAAAGGCCGUUGCCGGUGUCUCUGCCUGAGCAGCCGCUGCCUCGGCUGUGGUCUUCGGGGUGGGGGCAGCAGGGCGGCGGCUGUCACUGCCCGCCCGGGCCCAGCAGCGGGAGAUUAAACCCGGAGUGCCACUGGCGAG